AAGGGAUAUUGGUCAAUGGGCGCAAGCCUGAACCAGCCAUGCCGCGUGCAGGAAGACGGCCCUAUGGGUUGUAAACUGCUUUUGUCAGGGAAUAAACCCCCGUACGUGUACGGAGCUGAAGGUACCUGAAGAAUAAGCAUCGGCUAACUCCGUGCCAGCAGCCGCGGUGAUACGUAGGGUGCGAGCGUUGUCCGGAAUUAUUGGGCGUAAAGAGCUUGUAGGCGGUCCGUCACGUCGGAAGUGAAAACUCAGGGCUUAACCCUGAGCCUGCUUUCGAUACGGGCAGACUUGAGGGAUGUAGGGGAGAACGGAAUUCCUGGUGGAGCGGUGGAAUGCGCAGAUAUCAGGAGGAACACCAGUGGCGAAGGCGGUUCUCUGGACAUUUCCUGACGCUGAGAAGCGAAAGCGUGGGGAGCAAACA
rnacentral:rRNA from 1 species